rnacentral:rRNA from 1 species
GACAGAGGGGGCAAGCGUUGCUCGGAAUCACUGGGCGUAAAGGGCGCGUAGGCGGCACUGUUAGUCAGGCGUGAAAGUCCUGGGCUCAACCUGGGAACUGCGCUUGAUACGGCAGAGCUAGAGGAUGGAAGAGGCUCGCGGAAUUCCCAGUGUAGAGGUGAAAUUCGUAGAUAUCGGGAGGAACACCAGUGGCGAAGGCGACUACCUGGCCUGUUCUUGACGCUGAGGCGCGAAAGCUAGGGGAGCAAACGGG